AUACGGAGGGUGCAAGCGUUGUUCGGAAUUACUGGGCGUAAAGCGCGCGUAGGCGGUCUGUUAUGUCAGAUGUGAAAGUCCUCGGCUCAACCGGGGAAGUGCAUUUGAAACUGGCAGACUUGAGUACUGGAGGGGGUGGUGGAAUUCCCGGUGUAGAGGUGAAACUCGUAGAUAUCGGGAGGAAUACCGGUGGCGAAGGCGACCACCUGGCCAGAUACUGACGCUGAGGUGCGAAAGCGUGGGGAGCAAACAGGAUUAGAAACCCCGGUAGUCC
rnacentral:rRNA from 1 species